rnacentral:rRNA from 1 species
GACGAACGCUGGCGGCGGGCUUAACACAUGCAAGUCGAACGAACGCCUUCGGGCGUUAGUGGCGCACGGGUGAGUAACACGUAGGCAAUCUACCCUCGGCUGGGGAAUAACCAGGGGAAACCCUGGCUAAUACCGCAUAACAUCUGGACGUCGCCUGGCGACCAGAUCAAAGCUUUAUGUGGCCGAGGAUGAGCCUGCGUCGGAUUAGCUAGUUGGUGGGGAACGGCCUACCAAGGCGACGAUCCGUAGCGGGUCUGAGAGGAUGAUCCGCCACACUGGCACUGAGACACGGGCCAGACUCCUACGGGAGGCAGCAGUGAGGAAUAUUGCGCAAUGGACGAAAGUCUGACGCAGCCACGCCGCGUGCAGGAA